UGGGGAAUCUUGGACAAUGGGGGAAACCCUGAUCCAGCCAUGCCGCGUGAGUGAUGAAGGCCUUAGGGUUGUAAAGCUCUUUCGCUGGGGAAGAUAAUGACGGUACCCAGUAAAGAAGCCCCGGCUAACUUCGUGCCAGCAGCCGCGGUAAUACGAAGGGGGCUAGCGUUGUUCGGAAUCACUGGGCGUAAAGCGCGCGUAGGCGGAUCGUUAAGUUAGGGGUGAAAUCCCGGGGCUCAACCUCGGAACUGCCUCUGAUACUGGCGAUCUCGAGUCCGGGAGAGGUGAGUGGAAUUCCGAGUGUAGAGGUGAAAUUCGUAGAUAUUCGGAGGAACACCAGUGGCGAAGGCGGCUCACUGGCCCGGUACUGACGCUGAGGUGCGAAAGCGUGGGGAGCAAACAGGAUUAGAUACCCCCGUAGUCC
rnacentral:rRNA from 1 species